GUCGGUGACCAUAGUCGUGGGGAAAUACCUGAUUCCAUUCCGAACUCAGCCGUCAAGCCCUCGAUGCCGAUGAUACUGCACCGCGGGAAAGUAGGUCAUCGCCGACU
rnacentral:rRNA from 2 species